GACGAACGCUGGCGGCGUGCUUAACACAUGCAAGUCGAACGGAAAGGCCCUGCUUUUGUGGGGUGCUCGAGUGGCGAACGGGUGAGUAACACGUGAGUAACCUGCCCUUGACUUUGGGAUAACUUCAGGAAACUGGGGCUAAUACCGGAUAGGAGCUCCUGCUGCAUGGUGGGGGUUGGAAAGUUUCGGCGGUUGGGGAUGGACUCGCGGCUUAUCAGCUUGUUGGUGGGGUAGUGGCUUACCAAGGCUUUGACGGGUAGCCGGCCUGAGAGGGUGACCGGCCACAUUGGGACUGAGAUACGGCCCAGACUCCUACGGGAGGCAGCAGUGGGGAAUAUUGCACAAUGGGCGGAAGCCUGAUGCAGCAACGCCGCGUGCGGGAUGACGGCCUUCGGGUUGUAAACCGCUUUCGCCUGUGACGAAGCGUGAGUGACGGUAAUGGGUAAAGAAGCACCGGCUAACUACGUGCCAGCAGCCGCGGUGAUACGUAGGGUGCGAGCGUUGUCCGGAUUUAUUGGGCGUAAAGGGCUCGUAGGUGGUUGAUCGCGUCGGAAGUGUAAUCUUGGGGCUUAACCCUGAGCGUGCUUUCGAUACGGGUUGACUUGAGGAAGGUAGGGGAGAAUGGAAUUCCUGGUGGAGCGGUGGAAUGCGCAGAUAUCAGGAGGAACACCAGUGGCGAAGGCGGUUCUCUGGGCCUUUCCUGACGCUGAGGAGCGAAAGCGUGGGGAGCGAACAGGCUUAGAUACCCUGGUAGUCCACGCUGUAAACGGUGGGUACUAGGUGUGGGGUCCAUUCCACGGGUUCCGUGCCGUAGCUAACGCUUUAAGUACCCCGCCUGGGGAGUACGGCCGCAAGGCUAAAACUCAAAGGAAUUGACGGGGCCCCGCACAAGCGGCGGAGCAUGCGGAUUAAUUCGAUGCAACGCGUAGAACCUUACCUGGGUUUGACAUGGAUCGGGAGUGCUCAGAGAUGGGUGUGCCUCUUUUGGGGUCGGUUCACAGGUGGUGCAUGGCUGUCGUCAGCUCGUGUCGUGAGAUGUUGGGUUAAGUCCCGCAACGAGCGCAACCCUUGUUCACUGUUGCCAGCACGUUAUGGUGGGGACUCAGUGGAGACCGCCGGGGUCAACUCGGAGGAAGGUGGGGAUGACGUCAAGUCAUCAUGUCCCUUAUGUCCAGGGCUUCACGCAUGCUACAAUGGCUGGUACAGAGAGUGGCGAGCCUGUGAGGGUGAGCGAAUCUCGGAAAGCCGGUCUCAGUUCGGAUUGGGGUCUGCAACUCGACCUCAUGAAGUCGGAGUCGCUAGUAAUCGCAGAUCAGCAACGCUGCGGUGAAUACGUUCCCGGG
rnacentral:rRNA from 1 species